UGGGGAAUUUUGGACAAUGGGGGAAACCCUGAUCCAGCCAUCCCGCGUGUGCGAUGAAGGCCUUCGGGUUGUAAAGCACUUUUGGCAGGAAAGAAACGUCGCGGGUUAAUACCCCGCGAAACUGACGGUACCUGCAGAAUAAGCACCGGCUAACUACGUGCCAGCAGCCGCGGUAAUACGUAGGGUGCAAGCGUUAAUCGGAAUUACUGGGCGUAAAGCGUGCGCAGGCGGUUCGGAAAGAAAGAUGUGAAAUCCCAGAGCUUAACUUUGGAACUGCAUUUUUAACUACCGGGCUAGAGUGUGUCAGAGGGAGGUGGAAUUCCGCGUGUAGCAGUGAAAUGCGUAGAUAUGCGGAGGAACACCGAUGGCGAAGGCAGCCUCCUGGGAUAACACUGACGCUCAUGCACGAAAAGCGUGGGGAGCAAACAGGAUUAGAUACCCUGGUAGUCCACGCCCUAAACGAUGUCAACUAGCUGUUGGGGCCUUCGGGCCUUGGUAGCGCAGCUAACGCGUGAAGUUGACCGCCUGGGGAGUACGGUCGCAAGAUUAAAACUUAAAGGAAUUGACGGGGGU
rnacentral:rRNA from 1 species